UGGGGAAUAUUGGACAAUGGGCGAAAGCCUGAUCCAGCCAUGCCGCGUGUGUGAAGAAGGUCUUCGGAUUGUAAAGCACUUUAAGUUGGGAGGAAGGGCAGUAAGCGAAUACCUUGCUGUUUUGACGUUACCGACAGAAUAAGCACCGGCUAACUCUGUGCCAGCAGCCGCGGUAAUACAGAGGGUGCAAGCGUUAAUCGGAAUUACUGGGCGUAAAGCGCGCGUAGGUGGUUCGUUAAGUUGAAUGUGAAAGCCCCGGGCUCAACCUGGGAACUGCAUCCAAAACUGGCGAGCUAGAGUAGGGCAGAGGAUGGUGGAAUUUCCUGUGUGGCGGUGAAAUGCGUAGAUAUAGGAAGGAACACCAGUGGCGAAGGCGACCACCUGGGCUCAUACUGACACUGAGGUGCGAAAGCGUGGGGAGCAAACAGG
rnacentral:rRNA from 1 species